rnacentral:rRNA from 1 species
GACGGAGGAUGCAAGUGUUAUCCGGAAUCACUGGGCGUAAAGCGUCUGUAGGUGGUUAAAUAAGUCAACUGUUAAAUCUUGAGGCUCAACUUCAAAAUCGCAGUCGAAACUAUUAGACUAGAGUAUAGUAGGGGUAAAGGGAAUUUCCAGUGGAGCGGUGAAAUGCGUAGAGAUUGGAAAGAACACCAAUGGCGAAAGCACUUUACUGGGCUAUUACUGACACUGAGAGACGAAAAGCUAGGGUAGCAAAUGGG